GACGAACGCUGGCGGCGUGCCUAAUACAUGCAAGUCGAACGCAGUGGGGACGGGUGAGUAACACGUGGGUAACCUCCCAUCAGAGGGGAUAACACUUGGAAACAGGUGCUAAACCGAUACUGAUGGAUGGACCAGCGGUGGCUUAGCUAGUUGGUGAGGUACCGGCUCACCAAGGCCACGAUGCCUAGCCGGCCCGAGAGGGUGAUCGGCCACACUGGGACUGAGACACGGCCGAGACUCCUACGGGAGGCAGCAGUAGGGAAUAGUCGGCAAUGGACGAAAGUCUGCCCGAGCAAAGCCGCGGGAGUGAAGAAGGUUUUCGGCUGGUAAAGCUCUUUCGUUAGAGAAGCGGUACCUAACCAGAAGGCCACGGCUAACUACGUGCCAGCAGCCGCGGUAAUAC
rnacentral:rRNA from 1 species